rnacentral:lncRNA from 1 species
CGACAAGUUUAUUACAAAUCUUAAUCAGGGAGAUGGGGAAGGGGAGGACAGAUGAUUUAGGGUGAUAGGGAAGGGAAGGCGGGUGAUAGAAAAGAUAGAAAGAGGCAAGAAUUGCGUAAAGCGGGGAUAGUCACCACCAGGAUCCAGCAACUGUGAUAGGUAAGGGUUAAGUUUGUUAGUCAAAUCAAAACUCAGUGGUGCUAUCUCAGGUCUCCGGGAAUGUAAAUAGUGUUGUAAAAUGUAAAUAGUGUUGUAAACGACGGAAACUAAGAAGCUGCAGGCCCGGGGCACAUAAGCUGCUAGAAAAUAACCAAAGAAUAAUGGAAAAGACUACUGACUUUCAUCCCCACAACCAUCAGGAGGCAGGAAAAUGAAUCCCCCAGCAACAACCUGCGCAGCCGCAAGAAUGACUGGAAUGUAUGCAGGAGAUAAGAAUUGUAUACGUACAAGAAUGACUGGAAUGUAUACAGGAGAUAAGAAUAGUAUAAAUGCAGAGCCAAUCCUUUGUUCAAAUUGCGACCCUGGUGGAGUGUAAACUCCCCUCGGCCGCCCGCCCAGCGCUGUUUUGCUCACUUAACCGCCAUGCUUAAUUGAAUAAAGCUGUCCCUUUAUCGCACUAGACUUUGUCUGGUUUUGUCACAAGAAUCUACAACAAGGGAAGGCAGGCGAUAGAAAAGAUAGAAAGAGGCAAGAAUUGCGUAAAGCAGGGAUAGUCACCACCAGGAUCCAGCAACGGUCCCGUUGCACGACGUUCCGACGGUCCAGGGCAAAAGAGCAUGGGAAGAGCAGCAGUAGCGUGGCCAGUCUUGGGCAGCAAGAAUGUGCAGUUAUCAGGUAGGUUCAGGAAGAACUCCGGGAGGAAGAAGCAGGCCCUGGAGAGUCCGUCAGCAUGCAGACCUUCCUUAGUGAGGGAUCUGAUGGCAGACACCUUGGGGGGAGAGCAGUAGCAGAAGGCCAGCCUUAGGAAGCAAGCAGGUAGAGUGCAGAGCAAGUCCAGAAGGGAGCAAACAACAACUUCUUGUUCUUCAGCAUGCAGGUCUCGGGUCGCGAGGAAUCUGUCAGAAACCCUCUCUCUUCUUCAGCACGAGGAAUCUGUUGUCAGAAACACCUCUUCAUGAGGAAUCUGUAGUCAGAAACCUAAUCUUAUGGUUGUUCGUCCCUUUUUUAUCCUUCUGCCAACGUGGCAUUCCUGGGUGCUUGGGGAACAUUCAUGUGCAAAUACCCCCUGAGAUGGCUAUCUCCCUUGAGAUAAGCCCCCACAAAAGACUGCUUCCUGGCCAUUAAGCUCUGGCUUACCUCUCUCUCGUUGCCCUCGGCCUUGUCCAUCUGUGUCCCUCAGACAAAGGAUUUUGCACCCCCUGCCCAAGACUGGUCCACCUGUGUCCUCCAGACAAAGGACUUCUCAAACCUUGAUCAGGACUUGUUUGGACUUGUUCAUCUGUGACCCUCAGCAAGCUUUGAGACAAUGAUGCAAAACAAUAAUCCCUUACAAGCCCUGAAGAGCUCUGUGAAUAAAUACCAUGAUUCUCUGCAGAUCUGGUUGAAGACUCCUGUUAACAGCUUUCUUUCCCAUUCAUGGCACCACUGCCGUCAGGAUCCAAAGCCACAUUGGCAUAUCUCCUUCUCAAGUGAAAGAUGAAGAAUGUAUUGACAGUUCCUGGAGUGAUCGUUGCCGCUGUUUUUAAUUAUUUUGGGGUCCCCUGUUUCCCUUCCUGGAGGCGCGGAUUUUGCGAAAUCCCUCCGCCCCACUAGUCGCAGAACCGGGCCGGACCAGCCCUUAAACCGUUGACAAUGACGCAGCAUAUAGGAGGCAUUACUUUUGGACCAGGUUGUUUCUGCUGUUUUUAAUUAUUCUGGGGUCCCCUGUUUCCCGUUUCCAGAGGCACAGAUCUGCAGAUCCCUUCGUUCUGCUAGUCACGGUACCGGGCGGAACCAGCCCAUGAACCCGCUGACAGUUGGGAGUUAAAGAUGUUAGUAUUAUAAAAAGUUAAGACUCUAGUGUGUAUGUUAAAUAAUAUGUACAAUAUAUAGUGAUGGUAUUUUACAUGUGUCGAAUAAAGAGUAGGAGGGGUGAAUGAAGAAUGUCUUGAUUUUGUACAUAGUUUCUUAGGUUCAAGUUAGACAUAGUUCUCUAAGAACAGAAGUGCAUGGUUUUUGUGUUUGCUUGUUCUUUUCAUGGAAGGUAUCGUAAGAUUUCAAUACAAAAAUAUGUAGGAAGAAGUUGUUCAUUUUUAUUUCAUAUAUAAACAAAGGCACAAGGACUUUCAUGCUCUCUAUGAGCAUGAAAAGAAAGCAAAACUUUCUUUUUCACAGUUGUUAUUCUUUAUCAGUAGAAUAAAACACAACAGAUAAAUAUUGUUUUAGACAAAAUGUUUAUGUAUAUCCACAUGCAGUCAAUUACUCUUGUGUAUGUUCUAUACACUUCUACUUAUUAGUUUUGCUUACAUUCAAACAAGCUUAAACUUCACCUAGAUAUGAAAAACAGACAAAAUCAAGGAGACGUUCUUUCCCAAAAUAUAGUGUUUAUUUGAUUUUGGUGAACUUUGGAUACUGAUUUUCCAUGGCACUGAUCAGUGUCUUUAGCUAAGUGUUUAACAGCACCUAAGAACUAGAACUAAUAGAAUCAAUUGAUAGAAGCUCCAUCCCAGAUAUAUUAGUUCUGAGACAUGAAUCUGAAUACUCCUCAGGAAGUAUAUUGGCCCCAGUAGGAUCAGUGGAGUAAAGAUAGAUAGAGCUGAAUGUCAUCAAAAUAACAGUGAUGAAUUAACCUAUUCCAUUGGAAAAUUGAAGCCAAUGAUAGAUGGAUAAUAGGAACCAGUUUUGCAAGCAGGCAAUCUCUCAUGAAAGUAGAUUUUUCAGACAGGAUAAUAUAUAUAUUAUAUAGAUAUUAUUAGAUUAUUAUAGAUUAGAUUAUUAUAGAUAUAUUAGAUACAGAGGAUAAUUUUUAGGUAAUCUCAGGCCUAAUUUUCUUUUAUAUAUUCUCUGAACACUCAACUAAGAAAGACUUGCAGGAAUAAACCCAAAUAAGAAAAUAUACUGUGUUUGGUCAAAAUAUGUUGUUUUUAAAGGAUUAUGAACGUAUCAUUAACCAGAAAAUUAACUGAAAAAUUAAUGACAUUUUCACAUUUACAGCCCACCAUAAAGUAUGUGCUAAUCCUCAUGGGCUAGUUCAGAUGAAAAAUAUUUAUCCCCCUUUGCUAAAGAGGGUGCACUACCUAAAUUAUGUCUAUGAAUAUACAUUAGUAUGUGAAGAAGAUUUCAUUUCUUUCUUUUGACAGCACAACGUACUGGCAACUUUACUUAAAUGCUGUACUGCAUAUUAUCCCAAAAACCAGUUAUAAAAUCUCUCCGCAGUGGAUGAUAAAAUAAAUACAAAUUAAAAACUACUUCACACUUUGGAUGAAAGCAUAUCUGAGUAUAACAGUACUUUGAAUCCAUUUAUUAUUAUCAUUUUACAUAGAGUAUUAUUGAGUUUCAUACAUAAAAAUAAUAAAUUUUUUCAAUGCAUCUUUAUACUUAUCAGAAAAUAAGAAUACUAAAACAUCAUUCAUUAUACAAGUAUAGAUUAUUUUAGUAUAAUGAGAAGAUUUCUGGUUUUUAUAGCAAUAUUUUGGUCAGAUUCCUGGUCUUCCUUUUCCUGAAAUUAGCUUCUGUUACCUUAGGGCAACUUUUACUUACUUACUUACUUAUCUAUUUAUUCAUUUAUUUAUUUAUUUUAAACUUAAGUCUUUCCUCUUUUAAAGUAAGAUUCUGAAGUGCGAAAACCAAACCCUAUAGCCUGUAAGGAUAUAGAGCAGGUAUGUUUUUAUGAGCAAUGCACAUAUGCCCCGGUGCAAGGGGAGUAGCUCCUCCUAACUUACACACCGCCAGGAAAGCGUGCUACAGAUAUUGGCUGAGCUAAUGCAUAACAGUUGACAGGAAUUCGGAUACAUAUUCAUUACAUUCCCAAGAGCCCAUUAGUAUGCAGUCCCUCCCCCCUUGCACAUGCAUGGUAAGUCGUGAGGGUUCGUAGUCUUCCUCGCUGCAAACUUCUGACCCUGAAGGGGGGGCAUCCCCCAAACCAAUUGCAGCUUGCCCUGUGGACAUUUUAUCACCUCCCUGCCAGAUGUCCUCAGGCUGUUCUCAAGUCCUUAUCUUUAUGGCUUUCAUCCCCCUUGUUAUUCCAGACCCAGUGUCUGUGAAAGUGCUUGCAAUCCCUUAUUUUCUAACACUCUCUACAUAAGCUAUCUCUAUUUGCCCCUGCCUCAGUUUCUGUGAAGCUCCUUUCCCUUUCCUUACUGUGAGGCCCUUCUCUCUUUUACUGCAGUGUCUGUUCUCAUUCUUCAAUUCUUUAUUUACCUAUUUGGCAAACCUAGAUAAAUGUGGAAAUCAAAAUUAAAUAUAAUGAGCGUCCUAUUACUUAUGGAUAAAAUCUAAGUAUGUGAAGAGUUUCUUCACCUUUGAAGUCAUGUUUAACUAGUCACUGUCUAUUCUAAAGUGUAUGUGCAUGGUGUAUUCCAGCUUAGAUUUCUUCUGCCAAAGAUGUUCAAUCAAUAUGAAUAUGUUCGUGAAUAUUUCAUGAAUAGCCAUUGUUACGCAUUAAGAAAUAGGUGUUGAUUAAAAAAUACAAGUGGACAUUUCUAGAACCAGAACUUCAGUCUGGAAAUACUGUUUAUUGGACUUGUUAUUAUUUGGGUGGCUGUGGGUUUUUUCUUGUGUGUGCUUGGGGGGUGAGGGAGGGGGAAGAGCAGU